rnacentral:rRNA from 1 species
AGAGUUUGAUCCUGGCUCAGGACGAACGCUGGCGGCGCGCUUAAUACAUGCAAGUCGAGCGAGAACCAUGGCUUCGGCCAUGGGGACAGCGGCGAACGGGUGAGUAACACGUGGGUAAUCAACCCCCGACACUGGGAUAGCCCGGGGAAACCCGGAUUAAUACCGGAUGCUCCGUCUGGCCCUCGGGCCGGCCGGAAAAGGGUAGCUUCGGCCUCCGGUCGGGGACGAGCCCGCGGCGGAUUAGCUUGUUGGUGGGGUAAGAGCCCACCAAGGCGACGACGGGUAGCCGGCCUGAGAGGGCGACCGGCCACACUGGGACUGAGACACGGCCCAGACUCCUACGGGAGGCAGCAGUGGGGAAUAUUGCGCAAUGGGCGAAAGCCUGACGCAGCGACGCCGCGUGAGGGACGACGGCCUUCGGGUUGUAAACCUCUUUCAGCUCUGACGAAGCGAAAGUGACGGUAGGAGCAGAAGAAGCACCGGCCAACUACGUGCCAGCCGCCGCGGUAAUAC